rnacentral:rRNA from 1 species
CAUGCAAGUCGAACGAAGCACUUUAUUUGAUUUCCUUCGGGACUGAUUAUUUUGUGACUGAGUGGCGGACGGGUGAGUAACGCGUGGGUAACCUGCCUUGUACAGGGGGAUAACAGUUGGAAACGGCUGCUAAUACCGCAUAAGCGCACAGCAUCGCAUGAUGCAGUGUGAAAAACUCCGGUGGUAUAAGAUGGACCCGCGUUGGAUUAGCUAGUUGGUGAGGUAACGGCCCACCAAGGCGACGAUCCAUAGCCGACCUGAGAGGGUGACCGGCCACAUUGGGACUGAGACACGGCCCCAACUCCUACGGGAGGCAGCAGUGGGGAAUAUUGCACAAUGGGCGAAAGCCUGAUGCAGCGACGCCGCGUGAGCGAAGAAGUAUUUCGGUAUGUAAAGCUCUAUCAGCAGGGAAGAUAAUGACGGUACCUGACUAAGAAGCACCGGCUAAAUACGUGCCAGCAGCCGCGGUAAUACGUAUGGUGCAAGCGUUAUCCGGAUUUACUGGGUGUAAAGGGAGCGCAGGCGGUGCGGCAAGUCUGAUGUGAAAGCCCGGGGCUCAACCCCGG